rnacentral:rRNA from 1 species
CACGAACGCUGGCGGCAGGCCUAACACAUGCAAGUCGAGCGAGGACUUCGGUCCUAGCGGCGGACGGGUGAGUAACGCGUGGGAACGUGCCCUUUGCUACGGAAUAGCCCUGGGAAACUGGGAGUAAUACCGUAUGUGCCCCUCGGGGGAAAGAUUUAUCGGCAAAGGAUCGGCCCGCGUUGGAUUAGGUAGUUGGUGGGGUAAUGGCCUACCAAGCCGACGAUCCAUAGCUGGUUUGAGAGGAUGAUCAGCCACACUGGGACUGAGACACGGCCCAGACUCCUACGGGAGGCAGCAGUGGGGAAUCUUAGAUAAUGGGCGCAAGCCUGAUCUAGCCAUGCCGCGUGAGCGAUGAAGGCCUUAGGGUUGUAAAGCUCUUUCAGUGGGGAAGAUAAUGACGGUACCCACAGAAGAAGCCCCGGCUAACUCCGUGCCAGCCGCCGCGGUAAAAC